GAUGAACGCUGGCGGCGUGCCUAAUACAUGCAAGUCGAGCGAACGGACGAGAAGCUUGCUUCUCUGAUGUUAGCGGCGGACGGGUGAGUAACACGUGGAUAACCUACCUAUAAGACUGGGAUAACUUCGGGAAACCGGAGCUAAUACCGGAUGAUAUUUUGAACCGCAUGGUUCAAAAGUGAAAGACGGUCUUGCUGUCACUUAUAGAUGGAUCCGCGCUGCAUUAGCUAGUUGGUAAGGUAACGGCUUACCAAGGCAACGAUGCAUAGCCGACCUGAGAGGGUUAAUGGGCACCCUUGAACUGAGACACGGUCCAGACUCCUACGGGAGGCAGCAGUAGGGAAUCUUCCGCAAUGGGCGAAAGCCUGACGGAGCAACGCCGCGUGAGUGAUGAAGGUCUUCGGAUCGUAAAACUCUGUUAUUAGGGAAGAACAUAUGUGUAAGUAACUGUGCACAUCUUGACGGUACCUAAUCAGAAAGCCACGGCUAACUACGUG
rnacentral:rRNA from 1 species